UUGGCGGACGGGUGAGUAACGCGUGGGUAACCUGCCUUGUACUGGGGGACAACGGUUGGAAACGACUGCUAAUACCGCAUAAGCGCACAGCUUCGCAUGAAGCAGUGUGAAAAACUCCGGUGGUACAAGAUGGACCCGCGUCUGAUUAGCUGGUUGGUGAGGUAACGGCCCACCAAGGCGACGAUCAGUAGCCGGCCUGAGAGGGUGAACGGCCACAUUGGGACUGAGACACGGCCCAA
rnacentral:rRNA from 1 species